GAUGAACGCUGGCGGCGUGCCUAAUACAUGCAAGUCGAGCGAAUGGAUUAAGAGCUUGCUCUUAUGAAGUUAGCGGCGGACGGGUGAGUAACACGUGGGUAUCCUGCCCAUAAGACUGGGAUAACGCCGGGAAACCGGGGCUAAUACCGGAUAACAUUUUGAACCGCAUGGUUCGAAAUUGAAAGGCGGCUUCGGCUGUCACUGAUGGAUGGACCCGCGUCGCAUUAGCUAGUUGGUGAGGUAACGGCUCACCAAGGCAACGAUGCGUAGCCGACCUGAGAGGGUGAUCGGCCACACUGGGACUGAGACACGGCCCAGACUCCUACGGGAGGCAGCAGUAGGGAAUCUUCCGCAAUGGACGAAAGUCUGACGGAGCAACGCCGCGUGAGUGAUGAAGGCUUUCGGGUCGUAAAACUCUGUUGUUAGGGAAGAACAAGUGCUAGUUGAAUAAGCUGGCACCUUGACGGUACCUAACCAGAAAGCCACGGCUAACUACGUGCCAGCAGCCGCAGUAA
rnacentral:rRNA from 1 species